rnacentral:pre_miRNA from 1 species
ACCACUAGAGGCUGCUGCACUGCAGGCUACAAAUGCUGCAGCGCCACCUGGUGGAGA